rnacentral:rRNA from 1 species
UACGUAGGGUGCGAGCGUUAAUCGGAAUUACUGGGCGUAAAGCGUGCGCAGGCGGUUUGUUAAGACAGUUGUGAAAUCCCCGGGCUCAACCUGGGAACUGCAAUUGUGACUGGCAGGCUAGAGUUUGGCAGAGGGGGGUGGAAUUCCUGGUGUAGCAGUGAAAUGCGUAGAUAUCAGGAGGAACACCGAUGGCGAAGGCAGCCCCCUGGGCCAUGACUGACGCUCAUGCACGAAAGCGUGGGGAGCAAACAGGAUUAGAUACCCUGGUAGUCCACGCCCUAAACGAUGUCUACUAGUUGUUGGGUCUUCAUUGACUUAGUAACGAAGCUAACGCGUGAAGUAGACCGCCUGGGGAGUACGGCCGCAAGGUUAAAACUCAAAGGAAUUGACGGGGACCCGCACAAGCGGUGGAUGAUGUGGAUUAAUUCGAUGCAACGCGAAAAACCUUACCUACCCUUGACAUGUCAGGAAGUCCGCAGAGAUGUGGAUGUGCUCGAAAGAGAACCUGAACACAGGUGCUGCAUGGCUGUCGUCAGCCCGUGUCGUGAGAUGUUGGGUUAAGUCCCGCAACGAGCGCAACCCUUGUCAUUAGUUGCUACGAAAGGGCACUCUAAUGAGACUGCCGGUGACAAACCGGAGGAAGGUGGGGAUGACGUCAAGUCCUCAUGGCCCUUAUGGGUAGGGCUUCACACGUCAUACAAUGGUCGGUACAGAGGGCUGCCAACCCGCGAGGGGGAGCUAAUCCUUUAAAACCGAUCGUAGUCCGGAUUGUAGUCUGCAACUCGACUGCAUGAAGUCGGAAUCGCUAGUAAUCGCGGAUCAGAAUGUCGCGGUGAAUACGUUCCCGGGUCU